ACCAGUUAAGCAGGGAGAGCUUUCUUUGAAAUGACAUCGAAAGAUAUUCCUUUCUGUUGGAGUCGUUCUUGAAGAUCAGUAGGGCCAAAUACAAUACCUGGGGGGAAAACUCCUCCCUUUGGCAGGUUGUCACGUUCGCUUAGAAGGAUAAGAGCACAUUGAACUAGGAUUAUAGGGGUUGUCAAAUAGCCAAUCUCAGGCCCCAUUAGUCUUGUUACUAUUUCCAUAUCUGGUUUCAUGUUUGCCUGUGAAACUUGAUUCCCAUCACUGAAACCACGUCCAACAAACCACAUCUUAAAUGUAGCACUUCUCACCUCAUCCUCUGAGGGGCCCUUCUUCCUAAACCAUCCAAGACUAAAAAAA
rnacentral:misc_RNA from 1 species